GGUGUUGAGGGGAAUGUUGGCUGGCUCGAGGCUAUUUUCCAGUUAAAAAAGAUCAACAGGAAAUUCUCUGGAGUAUUACUUCGGACCAGGCUUCAUUCCCCUCAAAACA
rnacentral:pre_miRNA from 1 species